AAAAAACACAGCGGGUUGUCUGGUCCAGUUUCUGCUCAAGCGGGGUUACCCUACAGCACAUGGCACAGGAUUGUGGCCAGGAUGUUCUUGAAUAUCUCCAGGGAGGGAGAUUCCACAACCUUUCUGGACAAUCUGUUCCAGUGCUCAGUCACCCCCACAGUGAAGUUCUUCCUCUUAUUCAGUCAGAGGAACAGUAUACACCGGCUGGGGAAUUGCUGUGCUCACACAAUCACAGAAUCAGUCAAGCUGGAAGGGACCACAGUCGGCCUGGUCCAACCUCCUCAAGCAGGGUCAGCACAUUGCAGAGGAUUGUGUCCAGAUGGUUUUUGAGUAUCUCCAGUGAGGGGAAACUCCACAACCUUUCAGGACAAUCUGUUCGUACAGUACUCGGUCACCCUUACAGUAAAGAAGAUCUUCCUCGUGUUCAGGUGGAACUUCCUCUGCAUCAGCUUCCAUCCUUUGCCUCUGUCCUGGUGAUUGGCACUACUGAGAAGAGCCUGGCUCCCUCCUCUUGGCAUCCCCCUUUUAUAUAAUUAUAUGCACUAAUGAGGUUCCCUUUCAGUCAUCUCUUUUCAAGGCUGAACAGGCCCAGCUCCUUCACCCUUCUCCUGGAGAAGCCAAAAUAAAAACUAUUCUAAAAUAUGUGCACCAUAAACCUGAGCUUGGUAUUUAAAAAGCUGCUGUUGACGUAAGAUAACCAGAACCCCAGGUGUUUAUUUGCAGUAUUUGGUCUGUAAAUGUUUGUGAGUUCAGUUUCCAGAUGAGAGACAGAUAGGGCUGAGAUUUGCGCUUUACCUGUUUUGCUCUGGUUUACUAUGCAAUCACAGAGUAAUAAAAGAUCUGCCACUUUAUAGGAUCAACGGAUCAGCCUUACCUACGUAUUGAUGUUCAGAUGGAAACACACUCCACAGGCCAUCCAAAGCAUUGGCUUCAGCACUCCCGGACUGGUAAACAGUGACAGGCAAGAGAAGUUCCUUACAAGGCAUGCCGUUGGGAUGGGAACAUGACUUUCUGGAGCUCCAGUUUCUCAUACCAAGAGUUUAAAGACUAGCCUAGGCAUGGCAAAUGACUUGGGCUUGCACAACUCUUCCCCUGAGGUAUAGAAAAGACAUUUAUUUCUCAGGCAUGAAACAGUUUCCCAUCAUGUCAUUAAAAAUAGUAGAACUGAAUGUUCUCAGGAUCCUUUCAGACACCAUGACUGCCACAGCACAAGCUUCUAUAAAGACCCAUAUUUUUGGAGGAAGGCUUAAAAAAUUUCUCUUGAAAGUGUAAGUGCAAUGGAUUUGUAAGUCGGUGCUCAAAAAUCAAACUAGUCAUUCUCUUGAUUUGUUAUGCUACUUCCAGGGAAUUUUAUAACCAUCACCCAAUAUUCCUCACUCAGGUGAUUUUUUAUGCACUAUACAGAAAAGGUCCAUCCAUUGUCAUGCACAAAUGUCUGUAAAUGUAGUAAUUACAAGGGUUUUUUUUUAAAAGCGAUUGUAUGUGCAGAAACUUUUCCUGCAUAGAGUGUGCCAGAAACCUUCACUUGAGGCUUGGCUGUGCUAAACAAAAUAUGUUGCAAGAAAACAUUCCUUAAAAUGCUUUGAACUGCAGGGCUUAUAGAACUGCCUGACAAGCCCAGGGGCAAAGGCUGACAAAUGCAAAGCUACUUCUGGCUCCCACGGGCUUUGUAAUCAACUGGCUGUUGUCUCUUAGGUGAAAUUCUUAGGAAAAUAAAAUGCUCUCCGCAUAUCUCAUAAACAUUGUUCACGUGGAAGACCUGCCUUGGCCAUUACCAUCUCUGUAACUUGUGAAAAUGAGGAAUGUGUUCUCCAGAUGCUGCCUGCUCAAGGAGGCAAGGCUGAAUAAUAAAGGAGAUGAGGGAUCCAAGUAACUUGGAAGUGGGAAUUGACUCCUUGUCAGUUGGGAUGAUAAAAUUAAAUCUGGAGCCAUUCUGUCAUCUGACCUUUAGGCUGAAUGACAAAGUGAUUUUGAUGGGUGGAAAUGUUAUGACAUCAUUGUAACAUGCAUCCUGAGAUUGCAUGAGCAAGCAUGACUCUGUUCUGACACGAGUACUUCACCUAUCAGGAAAUAUAUUUGAUCAAUUUUUCUUACAGAUAAAAAUCAGAAUUCUCAGCAUUUUCUCUGUAGUGGUGCUUAGAACAGGUAACUGCUGGCUUGUGUUUUAUGAUGAUUCCUUUUGAAGCAAAAUAAAGACAUAAUCUACUCUUCUUCUGUCUUUCAUAAAAAAAAAAAAAAAACAA